UUGCCGCCAUUACAACGUAAUCCACAUUGUCCUAUUAUUUGGCAUGUUGAUUGAAUUUUUCUGUCUUGACUGAUGUUCUCCUCCCUUGCUUAUUUUGUUAGAUCCUUCUGGCUAUUUCUAUUUUGUCUUUUGCAUCUAACCUUCUAUAUUUUAAAAACCCCUCCAUCAAAAUGAAUUACUUGAACAGGAUCUGCUCUGUAGGCUCCAAUUUCUUUUAGUCUUCUGUAGCUUGGCAUUCUUCUAUUGGAGAAGGAAAAACAAUCACCAGAAAGUAAACCAAAUUGUUCAUAACCAUUGACAACUACCUGAUUGUGCUAGCACUGUAUGUCUAUAACCAUAUGUAGCAUUGUAUGUCUAUAACCAUAUGCAGAGGGAUCAUUAUGUUGAAUUCCGGUCACGUAGUAAAAUAUGAAUUUUAAAAUUUUUUAACAUGCUAAUAAAAAAUUUUAACAAUUAAAACUGUCAAAUCAAAACUCAAAUCCUAGAAUCACCUUGUAGAUAUCGAACAAAACAAAAUCCAAACAUGCAAAGAGAUAGAAACUUAUACUUCUUCAAACGAACAGUAUGGUAAGAAAGUGGUCUCCACCAGACUCCAAACUAAAAGUCCUCCAAUGGUAAUCCACAGGGAAGAUGGUCAAAGUCCUUCCCAACCAGUGCACCACCAUAACUUUUUCUUCGUAAGAACACUGCCGGCUUCGUACUCGAAGAAUGAUCGCACCAAUACUCUAUUGCGUUCAAUUUUUUUACUAGAAUCAUAUCAAGAGAAUUCUCUCCAGAAGUUUCACAACCUAGGAUUUGAUUUUGUACUCCAACACUGAGAAAAAUCAAACUCUAGGACAAGCACACCUUACUUGCUAUUUUUCUCACCUCCCUUCUUUCUAUGUUUUUCACUCUAUUUUUUCUUAUCAUUUUUCUUGAUUUUUUUUAGAUUUUUUUCUUUCUUAUCACACGCCAAAGCUUUUGAUUUUUCAUCAAAAUCCAGUUCUUAUCUCAUAUGAGGCACCCCAUUUAAAUAGGUGAAGAGGGGAUGGCAAGGAGACCCAAGGGGCACCAACUCUUGGCGCUCCACUUCCUCAUGCAGAGAAUUAAUUCUUCGAUGAAUUAAGUGGCGUAGAAGAGAUUUCACAUAGAAGGACUCUUCCUCUUCUGUGCCUUAUAAUUCUCUUAUUUAUUUCUGAUGUGUGAUAAUUAAGGAAACAGUGGAAAUCAGUAAGAUAGUUAAAAGUCUUAAGGAAGGAUUCUUCCUCUUCUCAAUGCACAAAAGAGGGUGGUGGCAUUAUUUUUGACGUGAAACCAGAGUGGCAUGGAGGAGUCUUUCCACACUUAAAACUCUUCCAAGCUAGAUAGGAGUCUAAUUAAAAUAAAUCUAAUCCAAUCUGGUCAAAGGCAACAGGUUCAGUUUAGCUCAAACACUUUGAACUUAACCUAAUUAAAAAUUUGGAUUAACACAAUAUGCUAGCAAAUCAAAUUUAAGCCUUAAAAUUUAUAUUAAAUCUUAAUUAAAUUAGAUGAAGAUCAAAUUUCAAAUCGUGUGACCCAUUAGAUUCUAAAUCUAGCCAGCAGUGGAUACAGACUCUUGAUCUAAUCCUAAUCCGAUCAGAUUAUGUCAGCUCAAGAGUCCCAAUUAACUAAGACUCUUUCUAAUUAAUUUUUAAAUUAAACUCUUUCAAUUCUAAUGAGUCCACAAGUCAAGAUUGACAUCUAGUAAUAUGUCAUGACUAUCUGAAAGAGAUAGAAUUUGAUAAAAAUUAUCAAAAUACCCUUCAGUGGUAAGGUACCGUGCAAUUCAAUCCUGCAAUCAAACAACAUCCCAGAUAAUCUGUGGGCAUAGAAUCAUAUCAAACUUAAUUGCUUAUCUAAAUGUAUCUCAAUCAGAAGGUGAUGAUUCAGUUGAUGAUAAUUAAAAACUUCUUUCUAAUUAUCAUCUUGUUUUGGUCAAAGAGUUUCAGAAUCAUCAACCUAUAAGAUCACAUAGGAUGUUCGCUCCCUUUAUUAAGAGUGACUGAUCUUUUAUUGACUACUCACAACCUCCAUGCAUACUUCAUUACAUCCAAAA
rnacentral:lncRNA from 1 species